rnacentral:miRNA from 1 species
CUAGGGAUGAUGGGAGUUGUAGUCCAAAAACAGCUGGAGACCCAAGUUUGGCCAACACUGGACUAGAUGAUUCCCAGCUGCUGUUGGACUACAACUCCCAUCAUCCCUGAC